UGACGCGUCAUUGUUGGUUUGGUUUGGUGAAGCAUGGUGAAAACACGCGAUGACCUCAAACAAAGGUCGACGAGUUUGUGCAGUCAAACGUAUUAUAUCUACACGUCCUACGCCUACGUUGCCUGGUUUCCACUCAUUGAGAAAAGCACGAAUAAUUUGGAAUAAACCACGUUCUGGGGGUUUGUCCCGAGAAAAUAGAACACUCCAGUUACACCGUGGCUUAUUUCUGAAGUUGCGCGGUAUCACAUUAAGAACCUUCAUCUCAGGGGCUGGAACGGUGUUAUCCAGUUGCGGGGACACGGUAUCCUACGUGACUCACUCAUAAUUCUGAAAUAAAUAACAAAAUGUCAAAACACUGAUGGAUAGCUUAAGGAUAAAUAUCUGUGAAUAUUACUCAAUAUUUCCUAUCAAAUCGAAAUUCACAAACAUGCUCUGCUUGGUUAACAUUGUCAUGUUUUCUCGAAAUUUCAUGACCUCAAGAGUAUGAAAAAAGUGAUUUUCCGUGUCUGUCUGUCUGUUUGUCGUUUGUGUCGAAUUCUUUCGAAGUAUAAACAUAAAUAGUCGAAGUUACGCAUGUACUGUGACAGUGAAAUAACAUGUUUUCUCGACGGUUAAAUGUUUCAAAUAUAAUUUAUUCAUUCCCCCUUGGAAUUUACGUCCUCGCGGCAGGGACUGGAGGGGUGUUAUUUAUUAUGUUAUAAUUUUUCAAAAAAGCGGGAUUCGUGGGACUGUACUUCAAGGGCAAGGGAAGUUCUGUCGAAAUAACCUUCGAUCAAUUUUUCGAAAUUGAAACUAAGAUUAAUCACCUCACCAAUUUUUGGGUGGUAUUCAGUUAAAUUGUGUUUAUUGUGAUUCCUUCAAAGGUAAGUCUGGAUUGCAAAAUGGAAGUUCAAUAGAAUAUGCAUCAUAAACGUUCUCAAAACACAAAAAUUACGCUCAAAUUGAUAUCCUAUUGAAGGCUCAGAGUUCAAUUAGCUUAAGUCACUAAAAGUUUAAACUAAGAUAAUAA